rnacentral:rRNA from 1 species
AGAUACCAGCUGGCUGCAACUGUUUAUUAAAAACACAGCACUGUGCAAACACGAAAGUGGACGUAUACGGUGUGACGCCUGCCCGGUGCCGGAAGGUUAAUUGAUGGGGUUAUCCCUCGGGAGAAGCUCUUGAUCGAAGCCCCGGUAAACGGCGGCCGUAACUAUAACGGUCCUAAGGUAGCGAAAUUCCUUGUCGGGUAAGUUCCGACCUGCACGAAUGGCGUAAUGAUGGCCAGGCUGUCUCCACCCGAGACUCAGUGAAAUUGAACUCGCUGUGAAGAUGCAGUGUACCCGCGGCAAGACGGAAAGACCCCGUGAACCUUUACUAUAGCUUGACACUGAACACUGGUCCUUGAUGUGUAGGAUAGGUGGGAGGCUUUGAAGUGCGGACGCCAGUCUGCAUGGAGCCGCCCUUGAAAUACCACCCUUUAAUGGCUGGUGUUCUAACGUGGGCCCGUAAUCCGGGUUGCGGACAGUGUCUGGUGGGUAGUUUGACUGGGGCGGUCUCCUCCUAAAGAGUAACGGAGGAGCACGAAGGUCAGCUAAUCCUGGUCGGACAUCAGGAGGUUAGUGCAAUGGCAUAAGCUGGCUUGACUGCGAGCGUGACGGCGCGAGCAGGUGCGAAAGCAGGUCAUAGUGAUCCGGUGGUUCUGAAUGGAAGGGCCAUCGCUCAACGGAUAAAAGGUACUCCGGGGAUAACAGGCUGAUACCGCCCAAGAGUUCAUAUCGACGGCGGUGUUUGGCACCUCGAUGUCGGCUCAUCACAUCCUGGGGCUGAAGUAGGUCCCAAGGGUAUGGCUGUUCGCCAUUUAAAGUGGUACGCGAGCUGGGUUUAGAACGUCGUGAGACAGUUCGGUCCCUAUCUGCCGUGGGCGCUGGAGAACUGAGGGGGGCUGCUCCUAGUACGAGAGGACCGGAGUGGACGCAUCACUGGUGUUCGGGUUGUCAUGCCAAUGGCACUGCCCGGUAGCUAAAUGCGGAAGAGAUAAGUGCUGAAAGCAUCUAAGCACGAAACUUGCC